rnacentral:rRNA from 1 species
GACGAACGCUGGCGGCGUGCUUAACACAUGCCAGUCGAACGGAAAGGCCCUGCUUUUGUGGGGUGCUCGAGUGGCGAACGGGUGAGUAACACGUGAGUAACCUGCCCUUGACUUUGGGAUAACUUCAGGAAACUGGGGCUAAUACCGGAUAGGAGCUCCUGCUGCAUGGUGGGGGUUGGAAAGUUUCGGCGGUUGGGGAUGGACUCGCGGCUUAUCAGCUUGUUGGUGGGGUAGUGGCUUACCAAGGCUUUGACGGGUAGCCGGCCUGAGAGGGUGACCGGCCACAUUGGGACUGAGAUACGGCCCAGACGCCUACGGGAGGCAGCAGUGGGGAAUAUUGCACAAUGGGCGGAAGCCUGAUGCAGCAACGCCGCGUGCGGGAUGACGGCCUUCGGGUUGUAAACCGCUUUCGCCUGUAACGAAGCGUGAGUGACGGUAAUGGGUAAAGAAGCACCGGCUAACUACGUG